GCAUGUGUGUGUGCGUGCGUGUGUGUGUGUUUAGACUCAGGAGCUGUAUAAUGUGAUUGAGGGGCAGAACAAAACACUGUGUAAACUCAGAGAGAGCCAGCGGCUGCAACCCACACAGGCUCCAGCAGACGCUCCAGAUCCGGUUCUGCAGGGUUCUGCAGUGAGCUGUGAUCUGGAGGAGACUCGGUGCGCGCUCACACUGACCCAGAGACGACUGCAGGACCUGCAGCGAGAGCGAGAGCGGCUGCAGACCGAACUGCAGAACACACUGCAGCACAGAGAGAGCGCACACACACACACACAGGACCUGCGGCAGGCGGUGGAGCAGCUGCGCUCUGAGCUGCAGGUAAAGGUGUGUGAGCUGCGUGAUCGGGAGGUGCAGGCGCAGACACACAUUGCAGACAGAGACCGAACCAUCGCGCAGCUGCAGCAGAGCUUGAGCCGCAAAGACAAACAACUGCAGGAGUACUCAGAGCUGCUGAAUCCCUCAUCUGACUCCAGUGGAGUGGUGGACAGAGACACACUCCUGCAGACACUGAGGAGACGCAUCCGAGAGCGGGACAGAGC